AGGGGUGUAGCUCAGUAGUAGAGUGCUUGCUUAGCAAGCCAAAGGCCCUAGGUUCAAUUCCCACCACUA
rnacentral:tRNA from 1 species